CGGCAAGAGCUCAAAUUUGAAAGCUGGCUCCUUCGGGGUCCGCAUUGUAAUUUGCAGAGGAUGCUUCGGGAGUGGCCCCGGUCUAAGUUCCUUGGAACAGGACGUCACAGAGGGUGAGAAUCCCGUACGUGCCCGGUGGCCGCCCCCGUGUGAAGCUCCUUCGAC
rnacentral:rRNA from 1 species